AAAGAUAUUCUAAAUCUUUAUUCGAAAACUAACAUUAAAUUAUAAAGAGCGAAGCAGAUAUAUAAUAAAAAAUAUCAGAGAUUUAAACAUUACAAAAAUAUUCAAAGCUCACUUAGAUAUUCGAUCAAACAAUUAGACCGCUAGAAUCUUUAUAGACAAUUCUACCUGUGUUUUGAUGCAUAUACAACCUGUCUUUGUCAUUGGCCAGAAUCUGAAACUGCAUAAUUCAAAAAUAACGAAAGUGUAAUUAGUAAUGGAUCGUACCUGUAAAUACAGUUGAAAUUGUACUAUAUAUGUGUGUAUUUUACCUACAUUUACGACAAAACUGUUUAGUAUUCAGCCUCAAGUAUUCCUAGUGAAAAAAAAAUCAUAUCCCUAGUGAUUAAAAAGAAAAACAAAUUAAGCUUUCAGCAAUCUCUAACCAUUGAAAUAGUGGACAUAAUUAAUGUAGUAAAUCGUGUACGAUUAAAAUAUAUAGUUAGAUAACAUAAACAUAACUCUAUUAAGAUUCUCUUCAACUAAAUCGUCAACCCGGUCUCACAUAAAUAAGAUUAUGUAGAUCAUCACAUUUUUUGAAUGCGAAAAAAAUGUUAAAAAUCUCUCUUGGAAUUUUAAUCAAACACUUGCACGUGAGAAUUUGAAACAAUGAGAUAUGUAAGAAUGAAUAAGGCUAACCCAUCCACUUGAGGUGUAUCAUAAUACAUGAACUCAAAAGUCACCAUUAUCAACCUGAAAUGAAAUCACAACAUAAAAAUAAACACAACUCUAUUACAAUUAAAAUAUAUAGUUAGACAACAUAAUCACAACUCUAUCAAGAUUCUAUUCAACUAAAUCGUCAACCCAAGUCUCACGAUUGUUUAGAUCAUCACUGUUUUCGAAUGCGAAGAAAAUGAUAAUAACCUCUCUUAGAACUUUAAUCAAACACUUACACGCCAGAAUUUGAAACAAUGAGAUAUAUAAGAAUGAAUGAGGCUUACCCAUCCAGUUGAGGUGUAUCAUAAUACUUGAACUUAAAAUCAUAAAUUAUCAACCUGAAAUGAAAUCACAAAGAACACGAUAAUCAAAUAGUGAAUAGAUUUAUUCAAAAAAAAGGUAAAACAUAUAUUUGAAAAUCUGGACAUUUUUAAAAGAGAUUUAAAUCAAAAUCACUUUGACCCCCUAAAAACAGGAUCGCUAAUUGGUUACAGCACUGAAAUCAGAAACCAAAACUUACAAUCUCAUUACAACUUAAACUACAUUAUCAGCUAAACCUCGAUAAGAAGAAUAACUGAUAACCAAUAAAUAAAUCUAUUAUACAACUAAACUGAAAUAGAGUAGUUCUAACUGGAGCUAUUCUUGCAAACAUCUCCAUGGCAAUCUCGCCUAGCAUUACUCCUACGCGCAGCUUGACAAAUGAAUCAUCUAAAUCCCUAGCUGAAAAGGUUAAAAGGAAUAGCAAGGGUGAGCAAUAAUGCUCAGCAAGCAUAUAAAAGAAAAUUUGUAAUAAAUAAAAGGAGAAAGAAAUAUAUCAAAUUUUGUAUGUAACUUGCCAGGUAUUUUCAACAAUGGAGAACAACAGUUGUAAUUCUAUAAAAGUAUGGCAAUUACAAGAAAUAAAAUCAUUUAAAACUAUUCUGUGAAAAAUCAUUCGCCUACGGUGCGUGGUGCUGACACGGUGAUCAGCCGAGCAUCAAGCACCGGGACAGGGCGCUACCUAUCCCAGGACUAAGGGGCCCAAGGCACACAUUGGCCUUAAAUAAUGUAACAUGUAACUCACGACCGGCACCACGGUCCAGCAAAUGAAUUCCGAUUGGUUAACAGUUUAUAAAUAGUACUUCUAUAUUAGAAGUCUUUUAACAUCAUUUUCAUGUUACUAAACUCAAAAGGUAUCCAACCUUUUUAAAUCCAAAACCUGCAGAGUAAUCCUCUGUAUACCACAAUUUACUGUUAACCAAGUUUGAAAUCAUAUAUAAUUGGCUAUGCUCAACAUUCUUAAAAGAUAUAAUAUCAAGAGAAUAUUGAACAAAAUAACCAAUUUCCACUAGGACAAAGUAAACCAUGAAAUACAUUUACCAAUAAAGAAUUCCAAAAAGUCUCAAAAUCAAUCUUGUAUGAAUAGAAGUAACUCGU
rnacentral:lncRNA from 1 species